rnacentral:rRNA from 1 species
AAACUCAAAGGAAUUGACGGGGGCCCGCACAAGCGGUGGAGCAUGUGGUUUAAUUCGAAGCAACGCGAAGAACCUUACCAGGUCUUGACAUCCCGGUGCCCGUCCUAGAGAUAGGAUUUUGCUUCGGCACACCGGUGACAGGUGGUGCAUGGUUGUCGUCAGCUCGUGUCGUGAGAUGUUGGGUUAAGUCCCGCAACGAGCGCAACCCUUAUUGUUAGUUGCCAUCAUUCAGUUGGGCACUCUAGCGAGACUGCCGGUAAUAAACCGGAGGAAGGUGGGGAUGACGUCAAAUCAUCAUGCCCCUUAUGACCUGGGCUACACACGUGCUACAAUGGCUGGUACAACGAGUCGCAAGUCGGUGACGGCAAGCUAAUCUCUUAAAGCCAGUCUCAGUUCGGAUUGUAGGCUGCAACUCGCCUACAUGAAGUCGGAAUCGCUAGUAAUCGCGGAUCAGCACGCCGCGGUGAAUACGUUCCCGGGCCUUGUACACACCGCCCGUCACACCACGAGAGUUUGUAACACCCGAAGUCGGUGAGGUAACCUUUUAGGAGCCAGCCGCCUAAGGUGGAAAUAGGGGGUGGU